rnacentral:rRNA from 1 species
GAUGAACGCUGGCGGCGUGCCUAAUACAUGCAAGUCGAGCGAACAGACGAGGAGCUUGCUCCUCUGACGUUAGCGGCGGACGGGUGAGUAACACGUGGAUAACCUACCUAUAAGACUGGGAUAACUUCGGGAAACCGGAGCUAAUACCGGAUAAUAUAUUGAACCGCAUGGUUCAAUAGUGAAGGACGGUUUUGCUGUCACUUAUAGAUGGAUCCGCGCCGCAUUAGCUAGUUGGUAAGGUAACGGCUUACCAAGGCAACGAUGCGUAGCCGACCUGAGAGGGUGAUCGGCCACACUGGAACUGAGACACGGUCCAGACUCCUACGGGAGGCAGCAGUGGGGAAUCUUCCGCAAUGGGCGAAAGCCUGACGGAGCAACGCCGCGUGAGUGAUGAAGGUCUUCGGAUCGUAAAACUCUGUUAUUAGGGAAGAACAAAUGUGUAAGUAACUAUGCACGUCUUGACGGUACCUAAUCAGAAAGCCACGGCUAACUACGUG